rnacentral:rRNA from 1 species
CAAUAGCGUAUAUUAAAGUUGUUGCGGUUAAAAGCUCGUAGUUGGAUUUCUGCCUGAGGCAGCCGGUCCGCACUUAGUGCGUGUAUCUGGUUUGGUUUGGGCAUCCUCUUGGGGAUCGUUGCUGUGCUUAGUUGCAUGGUGCGGAAUUCAAGACGUUUACUUUGAGGAAAUUAGAGUGGUUACGGCAAGCUAUCGCUUUGAAUACAUUAGCAUGGAAUAAUAACAUAGGACUUUGGUUCUAUUUUGUUGGUUUCUAGAACUAAGGUAAUGAUUAAUAGGGAUAAUUGGGGCGAUUCGUAUUAACACGUCAGAGGUGAAAUUCUUGGAUUGUGUUACGACGAACUACUGCGAAAGCAUUUGCCAAGGAUGUUUUCAUUGAUCAAGAACGAAAGUGCGGGGAUCGAAGAUGAUCAGAUACCGU